UGUGACCGGCAGCAGGGGGAACACAAACCAGGUGACACAACAACGUCCUCACUUCCGGCGGCCCCGCAUGCCCCACUUCCGGCAGUCUCUCGGACCUGUUUCCGGCAGUCCCGUCGGUAGAAACAAUCUCAUUGGCCAGGAACCUGCUGUCUCCUUCCUCCACUUGUGGGUUUGUUAUAGAAGUCACAUGACCGAGAUCACCUGAAACCAAGACGAGAAGUACCUAAAACCUACAUUCUCCAGACUGAGCACCAUCUCGAGCAGGACAUUUGCGAUGUCGGUGCGGCAUCCUCCGGUCCGGGUGGAGCGCGGUACCAGAGCAGUCUAUCAUUCGUUUCAGAAGCCCCGAUGAGCUGACAAGCAAUAUAAU